GCGAAGCCACUCGGGCGCCCGCAGGCCCGGCCGGCCCGGCGCCUCUUGGAGCUGACGCCGCCCGCGCCAUCUUGACCGAGGGCAGCUUUCCACUAUUUCCGUUCCUUCUCCAUAAGGGGCCGCCGUCGUCAGUGAGGUUUGCUAAAGCAGAGGCGUACUACUAUCAAUAGCAUCAAGAAAUGAUGAUGGAAGAAGCAUGGAAAUACAAUAUGGUUCCAAAAUGGGAAACUAAAAUAGAGGAAGAGGAAAAGAGAUCACAACGUGAGAAAACAGAAGAUACUAAAAAAUGGGACUAUCUAGUGCCUGAGAGGGAACUGAGUCUUACAAAGAAACAUAUACCAGGCUGAACAAACCAGAGGCCUCAGAGACCACAAACACCGACUGCUCCCUCAAAGAAUUCCCAGUGAAAUACUUUCCCCUAAAAUACUAACACGGGAAAAGGAUGGAAAGCAUGAAAAUAUCCAGAAAACACACAAAACUGAAACCAGUAAGCACAAGGUGGCAUGGACAAAGGAACAGAUGAAGGGACACCAAGACCGAAUGAUCUGAGGGAGAGAACUCAAAGCAAAGACACGCUCAGAAGCGCUCCAGCCCCGUUCCAUCUUUCCUAAAAUCUCAAGUGGAAAAAGAGAAGGUGAAAGAGUUUGAAUGGGUCACAGCUUAUCCAAUUUUGCAACCUUACCAGAAAGCACUUAGGAAAGUGAUGAUUCUGAUGGAGAAAUAAGAAAAAAGAGAGUAUAAAAUUAAGAAACCACUCUGAAGGGAGCUCUUGAGUAUGCCACCAUUUUUGAGAAGUCAACUAGAAAAAAAUAAGGUUUAAAUUAUUUUAUAUUUUUUAGACUAGCAUACUUUUAAUCAUUAAUGCAAUAAAACAUAUACUCCCCUGGUUUUUUUAAGUGCAUCAAACUGGCAAAAAUUAAAAAAGCCACAAGCACAGUA
ensembl:lncRNA ATE1OSP ATE1 opposite strand, pseudogene